CAGGCAAAAAAAAAUCCAGGAAGUGAUAGCUCUCGCUGUUUGUAUACGGCGGUCCCCCUCCCAACAAUGGCGACGUUCAUUUCUGUCCCGCUGAAGAAGUCCUCCGAAGUGGACCUGGUCAAGCCGCUGUCCAAAUACGUGACGUCCACCUACCCGGCGGGCGACGAGCAGGCGGAGUACAUCCGCGCCGUGGAGGAGUUGAACAAGCUCCGCAGGAACGCCGUGGGGAGGCCGCUGGACAAACAUGAAAGCGCCCUGGAGAUCCUGCUCAGAUAUUAUGACCAACUGUGUGCCGUGGAGCCCAAGUUUCCCUUCAGUGAAAACCAGCUGUGCUUAACCUUCACAUGGAAGGACGCCUUCGAUAAAGGCUCGCUCUUUGGCGGCUCCGUCAAACUGGCUUUGGCCAGUCUGGGCUAUGAGAAGACGUGUGUGCUGUUCAAUGCUGCGGCUCUCGCCAGUCAGAUCGCCUCCGAGCAGAACCUGGACAACGACGAGGGGCUGAAAAACGCCGCCAAAUACUAUCAGCUGGCCAGCGGCGCCUUCGGCCACAUCAAGGACACGGUGCUGUCGGCGCUCAACAGGGAGCCCACCAUGGACAUCGCCCCCGAAACGGUGGGCACCCUCAGCAUCAUCAUGCUGGCCCAGGCCCAGGAGGUCUUCUUCCUCAAAGCCACCUCAGACAGGAUGAAGGACGCCGUCAUCGCCAAGCUGUCCAAUCAGGCCGCCGAGUUCUACGGCGACGCCUUCAAGCAGUGUCAGUACAAAGACAACCUGCCCAAGUAUUUUUAUUUUCAGGAAGUGCUGCCGGUGCUGGCGGCCAAGCACUGCAUCAUGCAGGCCAACGCCGAGUUGCACCAGAGCAUCAUCGCCAAGCAGAAGAAGCGCUUCGGGGAGGAGAUCGCCCGCCUGCAGCAUGCAGCAGAGCUGGUGAAGACGGUGGCGACGCGCUACGACGAGUACGUGAGCGUCAAAGACCUGACGGACAAAAUCAACCGAGCCCUCACCGCCGCCAAGAAGGAUAACGACUUCAUCUACCACGACCGCGUUCCCGAGGUCAAAGACCUGGAGCACAUCGGGAAGGCAGCGCUGGUCAAGGCCACCGCCAUCACGCCGCCGCUCAGCCAGAAGUUCUCAGAUGUGUUUGAGAAGAUGGUUCCCAUGGCGGUGCAGCAGUCCAUGGGCGUGUACGGCCAGCGGAAGGCAGACACGGUCAACAGACUGGUGGGCACCAUGAGGGAGGCCACCAAUCUCUGCAACGGCGUGUUGGCGUCCCUCAACCUGCCAGCGGCUCUGGAGGAUCUAUCCGGAGACGCCGUCCCGCAGUCCAUCGCCGAGAAAGCCAGAUCCAUCGUGCAGCAGGGGGGGCUGCAGAGCAUCGAGCAGCUGAUCAAAGAUUUACCUGAGCUGCUGACCCGCAACAGAGAGAUCCUGGAUGAGGCGCUGAAGAUGCUGGAUGAUGAAGAGACGACGGACAACGAGCUAAGAGCCAAAUUCAACCAGCGCUGGAACAGGACCCCCUCUGGAGACCUGUACAAACCUCUCCGUGCAGAGGGCGCCAACUUCCGCAACGUCCUGGACAAGGCGGUGCAGGCGGACCAGGUGGUGAAAGACCGCUACAACACCCACUGCGACAUGAUCGCCCUGCUGUGCAAACCCGAGAGUGAGCUGUCCGCCGCCCUGCCCUCCGCCAACCCCACCAAGACGCUACAGGGCAGCGAGGUCGUGAACGUGCUGCGCUCUCAGCUGACGCAGCUGGACGACGUGAAGACGGAGCGCGAGGCGCUGGAAGCGGAGAUCAAGGGGGUGGUCUUUGACAUGUCCGCCACCUUCCUGACGGCGCUCGCCAAGGACGGCGCCAUCAACGAGGAGCAGCUGUCGGUAUCGCAGCUGGACCAGCUCUACGGCGAACACAACCAGAGGGUGCAGGCCAGCCUCCGCAAGCAGGAGGAGCUACUGGGGCAGAUUCAGACGUCCCAUCAGGAGUUCAGCAGCCUGAAGCAGUCCAACACAGAAGCCAACCAGAGGGAGGAGGUCCUGAAGAAGCUGGCCUCGGCCCAUGACAGCUACGUGGAGAUCAGCAGCAACCUGCGUGAGGGCACCAAGUUCUACAACGACCUGACUGAGAUCCUGCUCAAGUUCCAGAAUAAAUGCUGCGACAUCGUUUUUGCUCGCAAAACCGAGCGGGAUGAGCUUCUGAAGGAGCUACAGCAGAGUAUCGCCCGAGAACCAAGCGCCCCCUCUUUUAACAUCCCUGCUUAUCAGAGUACCCCCGCCGUACCCCCGGGCGGCCCCACUCCGGCCCCCAGGACCGUAUUUACCCAGCCCCCUCAGCAGAUGCCCCAGCAGACCCAAGCAAAGUCCCAGCCCCCGGCCAGGCCCCCUCCACCCACCUUCACGCCACAGGCCGCCUCCCCGACCCCGCCUGCAGGCACACCCACCAACAACCCGCCGGCAGUGGCCCCACCCUCCCAGGCCCAGGGACCCCCUUACCCGACGUACCAGGGGUACCCACAGUACUUCCAGAUGCCCAUGGGCUACAACCCGUAUGCCUACGGCCAGUACAACGUGCCCUACAUGCCCUACCAGGCCACUCCGGGCCAGGCGGGCUACCCGGGCGCUCCCCCGCCCGCACAGGGCUACCCCGGCUACCCGGCACAACCCUCCCAGCAGCAACAGCAGCAGCCGUACUACCCUCAGCAAUAAACACACGUGUACAAUACCAAAUCACACGACGACAACACCCUGCUGUUUCCCAGCAAUAACACUUAGUUUUUCACUACUUCCACUUUUAUAUUUGUCCUCUCUUCAAAGCACUUUUUUUUCCCUCCUCUUUUCUUAUAAAUUGCUGUAUUUUACCCUCCAGAAUAUCCCAGGCUGGACCGCUGCCCACCUCGCCCCCCUUUCGUCUUAUCAGCUAUUUUUGUAAUUAACAAGCCUCGCAGAUGUACAAACAUUUAGAAAAAAAAAAUGGAUGGCUUAAUGGUUCUUUUCUAACUGAGGUGACUGUUCCUCUCUCUGCUCUCCUCUUCCUGGGAAUGUCUGACCUAUCAACCGUGUCCCAAUCACAGGCUGUACAAGUAUAUUAUAAAUAAUAUAUGUAUAAAACAAUCCUAUCUGUCCUCAUGGCUCAGUGGAGAUAUAUCUAACACCACCACAAGGUGGCAGUGUUGCAACAGGCCGCCUAAUCGGACGCCUCUUGACCUUCCCAGCGCCCAAGGGUGGGCGCAACCCGUUUUAAAUGACAUGCAAAUUGCGUCCCUGCGAGGUCUCCUCAUCUCAUCUCGUCGCCCCGUCCCUGUAGGUGAUUCCUACCGCAGGCGGAUUCCAUCCCCAGAUAUUCAGUGUCAAGAGACGCUAAUGAUUUUGUGUGUGUGUGGUGGUGGAGAGAGGCAGAUGGCAGCGCAGUGUGACGUCUGGAUGGAUGCAUGGGAGAUGUUGGCAGGGAGCUGCUGGUCGCCUGCCUGCAUCCAUCACUUGCACCUCUCCCGUUUUUUCCCCCCCUUCUUUCUCCUGCGCCACGUCUAAUCUGUCGCAAAGUGGCCGCCAUAUUUCAUCCACGCAGCAUCUUUCGGCCACCCCUCCCGUCGCUUCUUUGUCUCGGUUUGUUGACAGCUGAGUUGUCUUGAGCGGUCAGUCUCUCCUGGUUCAUAAACGUCUCCUAACAUCACAUCACUCUCCUGUACGUGUGUGUGUGUGUGUGUGUCUACGUGGAAUCUAAUCUAACAGGCCGCAUGUCAUCGUGGAAGUGACACAACACACAUCCACGGUACGCUACAGCAUCGUGUUGUUGUCAAAGCCAAUCGUAGCCCGUGGCGUGUUUAUGGAAAGUGUCUCAUGGCGCAUAAUUUUAACAAGACGUUCACCAGCUGAGGAGUGUCACAUUUUAAUUGGUCUGCAAAGCGAAUAAAGGCGCGGUACGCGGCACGGCGCUGACAGGUAUUAAUUACCUUAUGCCUAAUGGAUCCCAAAAGCAACGCUUGGCUGUAUUUUUUUUUUUUUAAGUUUUCCAGCCGUGAUGUUUCUUUUCAUAGCGAGUUGGCUGAUCGACGUUUUUAUUUAGGAAAUCCUGAAUAAAAAUAUGUAGACUAUACCAGAAGCACUGCAGUAGAUUCGCAUCAACAUGCUAGGAGCGGAGCUAGCGAGCCACAACAAGAACAACUCAUGGACAUCAUCUCACAGCGUUUUCGAGCAAAUCUGCAGAGUGCGACUUUCUUUGUGCGUUUGACGCCACAAAGUGAGAAAUGUGAGCGAGAGAGAGGGAAAAGCGAGGCGCGGCGCGUUGAUGGGUGUUAAUUUGACAAGUGUGCCAGGAUAUCAUUGCUUGGCUGAUGAUUCCUCCUCAGCUAGAGCAUCUCUCCAGCCCUGCACCACCACCACCCAACCCAUAGGAGCGGAGAUGCUUGAAAUAGCUGUGAUUGACAGGUGGUUGUGUAAGAACACACACUGGAUGAUGAUGAGCACACCUUGCUGGAGAGUGAAAGUGUGUUUGUGCUGGGAAGUUGUCGGACGUCAUUGCUGCCACCUGCUCUGCCGGGACUCAGGCCAGACACACACACACACACACGGACACACACGGACACACCAAAGCAGAGGGCAACCUCCCAACAUAGCAUUAAUGAUAUGAUUGACUUAACCUUCUUAGCACGCCAACUAUGUCAGCGUCACAGUCUAAGCCACCAUUCCCCCACCCACCCCACUCUCACCCCACACCCUUCCCCCCCCACCCACCCCCUCGUCUCGUCUCAUCUCAUCUUCAGUGAGUCAUCACAGGGUGAGAGGUCUGAGGCAAACAAGCUGGCAGAGUUGGACAUGCCAUAACAAUGCAGCACCUGUCAGGGCCUCUUCCUGUGUGUGUGUGUGUGUGUGUGUGUGUGUGUGUGUGUGUGUGCACGGGACUACCUGUGCUUUCAGCUGUCACCUGCAAGGAAACAUUUCUACCAAGCAUCACUGGAAAUACAAAGACACCACCGCUGUCUUUUUCAGUUUAUGUGUGUGUGUGUGUGUGUGUGUGUCCUUGUAAAACAAAAAAAAAAGGAUGGAUUGGCUGUCUCACUUUGUGGCAGGAGGUGUCUGGAAAAAGCAGCACUUCUGUGCUAAUAAAGUUUUUUUUUUUUUUAUAAACUUUCGGUGGCCACCAAAGUGAUAUUUCCCAAUGGAGAUAAUACAAACAUGAAUCCUCCGUUCCAGGGUUAAACUGUGGCUAUUAUUAUUUCACCUUUUAUUAAGUGUAUGUGCCAGCCUUGCCAAACCUACCCCAAAAAAACCGACCAUAUUUGUGUGACGAUUUCACCCUGAAACUUUUGUUGACAUGAAUAACACAUGUAAAAAUAGGUUAAAAAUCAUCCAUUUUUAAUACUGCUUACCCUCAUGAGGAUGGCGGGCGUGCUGGAGCCUAUCCCAGCUGUCUUUGGGAGACAGGCAGGGUACACCCUGGACUGGUGGCCAGCCAAUCACAGGGCACAUAUAGACAAACAACCAUUCACACUCACAUUCAUACCUAUGUACAAUGAAAAUAGGUUACCCACUGUAAAAUAAUAACCUAAUAACGUGAAAAAUAAUUGAAUUCAUCGUACGAGAUGAGCAGCCUUUCUCAGCGGUGUUAAACAUCGGGUUUGCCAAGUGCUCUCUCACUCACCUGGAAGUCCUGCUGGAGCUCCACCAAUGUACUCUCUCAUGCAUACAAGUCCCCUUAAAGAAGCCAUCUCAUCCUCUGGAAGCUCUCAUCCAAAAGUAAGUCAAAUAUGUUUUUGUCUAAAGAACAUAUUGUCCUCUUUUCAUAUCAUAAGUCGGAUUCUGGAUCUCGUAAAAAUCACAUUACCUUGCCAUCCCCUAUUAAUCCUCAGAUUAAUUUACUCAUUCUAGUAGUAAUUACCUUUUUGGGGAAAGGGGGGCAGUCAAAGGACCUUGGAUUUGUCCUGAUUUCCCCCUUUAUACGGCCCCCCCCCCAUACCAAUUCAUCAUCAAUACAUUGGAAAAUAAUUCAUCCAUGUGGUCAGUAUCGGAUUUCAGUCCUGGAAAAUUGGUAUUGCUAACUUUUGUGUAAAAAGAAGUUAACACCCAAGUUUUUAUUACUUGCUAACUUUAUUUUCCAUACAUUUUUCCUAAUGAGUUUUUUCCUAAUGAGUUCUACUGACGUCGGUGCAGCCCGGACUUCCUUAUAUCUCCAUAUGUCCUCCAUCUUUGCUUAGCUCUGUUCACCAUGUUAGCAAUGGCACGCAGCAAAUGUGUGGAUGGAAAAUAUAAUUUUGUUUUGCUUUCUUAAAGACGCAAGCAUCAAGUGGUUGGAGGUUGUGAUUCCAAAGCAGCACACAGGAACUUGUGAACAUGGGAAAAGCUGGACUUGAUGAAGCAGGACCACCCACCUGUUGCUGAAACCAGACGCCUUUCCGGCAUUACUCGGUCGUGUUGAAGCGUCCGAAGAGCGAGCCAUGGCAUGUGGGUGGCAAAGGAAGGAAGCAUCCACAGCAGCCAAGUGGGGAUGACACAGAUGGGAGCAGAUAGGAAAAGAAAGAUGGUGGGAAUAAAAAAAAAAAAAAAAAAUCCCCUUCAUCACCAGCGUGGACCCUCUCAGG